AUUGAACGCUGGCGGCAUGCCUUACACAUGCAAGUCGAACGGCAGCACGGGUGCUUGCACCCGGUGGCGAGUGGCGAACGGGUGAGUAAUACAUCGGAACAUGUCCUGUAGUGGGGGAUAGCCCGGCGAAAGCCGGAUUAAUACCGCAUACGAUCUACGGAUGAAAGCGGGGGACCUUCGGGCCUCGCGCUAUAGGGUUGGCCGAUGGCUGAUUAGCUAGUUGGUGGGGUAAAGGCCUACCAAGGCGACGAUCAGUAGCUGGCCUGAGAGGACGACCAGCCACACUGGGACUGAGACACGGCCCAGACUCCUACGGGAGGCAGCAGUGGGGAAUUUUGGACAAUGGGCGAAAGCCUGAUCCAGCAAUGCCGCGUGUGUGAAGAAGGCCUUCGGGUUGUAAAGCACUUUUGUCCGGAAAGAAAUCCUUGGCCCUAAUACGGUCGGGGGAUGACGGUACCGGAAGAAUAAGCACCGGCUAACUACGUG
rnacentral:rRNA from 1 species